UCCCUAGAGGACUAGUGGUUAGGCCUCGGCGCUCUCACUGCUAUGGUCCAGGUUCAAUUCCCGGCCAGAGAA